AAUAUAUACAAUCAAUCGUAAUGUUUAAUUGAAAUAUAACUACUUUUAUUUUUUUGUAUUGCUUUUUAGAAAAAAAAGGAAAACAACAUAAAUAAAUAUAUAUUUUUUGGGUGUUCUGGUUGGUCAUUGGCUCCUGUAAUUAAGAACGUAGAAAAUAUUUAAAAGUAGAAAAAUCUAUGUAGAUUGACAAUAAAAUAUAUAAUAUAGAUUUAAAUUUAAUACGGUGUUAACGGAAAAAAGAAUGACAACAUUAAUAAAAAAAAACAGUUUUUUUUGGUGUGCCGUUUGGUCCAUGGUUCUUAUAAUUAAGAGCCUUCAAAAUAUUUGAGAGCAAAAAAAUUAAUCUGCGUACAUUAUUAAAAAUAUGACUUUUUGCAUUUAUUUUUUUGCAACCGGUUAUUUAACUGUCGCGAAAAAAUUACUUUUUACAUUACAAUCUCAUUUUACUUGACCCAAUCAUGGUCUUAACCCAAAAAAAUAAAAAAAAAUAUAAAAAAUAAAUUUGUAAAACUUGACCUGUGUCCUUUUUUUCUUAUUUCCCAAAGCUGAACUCUCUCUCACUCUCUCUCAAAAUCUGUCUCGCUCGACUCUCUCUUUUGGAUCUCUACUCUCUCUUGCUCGAAUCUCACUGUCUCUCUCGCUCGACAGUGAAGACUUGAAGAUUUGAUCGAUUCAUAAUCUUCUGUUGAAGAAGAUUUGAAGAUUUCAAUAUGCUGUUGAUGAAGAUUUUGAUUGAUUCAUAAUCGGUAAGCCUAAACACUUCUCUUUGUCUUUCUCUGUGACGUUUGACACAUCUUCAUCGCUCGAAUCUUACUCUCUGUAAUGUUUGACAUAUCUUCAUCGAUUAAUCUGUAAUGUGUAAAUUGAAAAGGAAUUACUCUCUGUAAUGGUUGAUUAAUCUGUAAUGUUGGAAGGUUGAUUGAAUAAUAAUAGAAUAAAUCUCUUUGUCUCUGAAGGUUGAUUGAAUAAUAUUAAUAAUGUUGGAAGGUUGUUCCCAGAUUUCCAAGUUUUGAAUCUGAAGCUGCUAGCCAAUGAUGACAAAUCGUAAAUUGACCGAAAUGCAAGUUUUUAAUAUCUGUCGUGGUGUUGAAAUUCUUGAACUAGGAUGGUCUGAGGCCGAAGUAUGACUAAGUAUUAUAAUGUUAGUUGUGAAACAAAUAGCUAGCUAGUAAAACUCAAAGGAGUUCUUAUUUCCAAGUAUGUACUGUUCUGCCAUCAAAAUCCAUGGUGAAAAAAAGGAGGAACUUUCGAAUCUUAGUGCUACGAUUUCCAACCUAUGGUGAUAAAAAAAUAAAAUAAAAUAAAAUCAAUUCGUAUCUAUAUCGAUGUGUUGAGUACUGUACCAGCUAUAGUAUUGUUUUUAUUACUGGUACAAUAUGAAUUGAUACUGGUACUUUUCAAAUACUGUUUCAGAUUUAUCAAUGUAUUAUAUAUUUGUCAAAAUAUUAUAUUUGUUUAUAAAAUUUGAUGAAUAGACAUUGUUUAGUUUAUUGGACUGUCCUUUAAAUGAAUUCAAUAUUCCUAAGGUUGCAGUAAAUUUAAAAUUAAAAACUAAUUUGCACCUUUGUCAUUAAAGAUGAAAUCCACCUUGCAUUUAAAAAAUAAAUAAAGUUAAAAGAGUUGGUGUAUGUUUCCAAAAGUUCAAAACCCGUCUCUCUCCAUUACCUGUUCAAAGACUCCAAAGCAUCCCAAUUUAGUUUUCAACAAUGGCCAAGUACAGUUUCUACAUGGAUGGAGAUAGAAGAGUUGUGGAGCAAUGUCCAGUGGUUGAGAUGGUUUUGCUCUAGUUUUUAAAGAUGGAGAGAUUGAGCAGCUGAAAAAGCCUUCCCAAUCUGACAAAUGAAAUACCAACUGUGUAGUUAAUUCACCUUCGUUCAAGUCUGAAAUAUUCUGCUUCUCAUUUUUCUUUUUAUUUGUAACCGUUAACACUCCCCGAGGUUGAUAUGGCAGGAGAAAAGGCAAAACUUUGCAGUAUUCCUCAAAUGGUCCGAGAUAGGCCUGGAAAUUUUUUAAAACAAAACUGAUAGUAUAGGGUUUAUUUGAUAAACUGGGUUGUACCUUCUGGUACAAAACGGUAUUUACAACUUUGAUCUGUAUCCAUUGCUUAAUUUUCUGUUGAGAAAACCAGGCACAAGAACAGAAGAUACAAUGAGACUUGUACGUAGCUGAUAGUCGAAGAGACUUUAAAUUUUUUUCAUUUCCUUUUUGUGGUAUUUACUGCAUUUUGUGUGAUUAUGAGUGGGCCUACUUUUAAUUUCAUAAUCUAAUGGUUCUUAACUAUUUAUGUUGUCUGUUAUGAUUCUUGAUACGUUCCUUUCGGAUAAAUACAGGAGCCUUGUGUUGAAUUCGACACCGUUGCAGACAAAAAGCAGCAGCAUGAAGUCAAUGUUGACUGAAGAGGAAACUGAAGAGUUGACCAACCAGAUGAUCCUCCUGGAAUCACAAAAUCCGAGAGCGCGAGUCGACUCUCAGAGGUAUCAUCUAUGCUCUCUCCUUGCCAUUACACAAUUUUCAAUAAUUACAUCUACAAUUGCUUGCUCUUUCAUGACGAAUUUUCUUGUAUUUAUUUUCUUGUUGCUCUGUCCCUUCGUGGAAUGAUCUGCUAACUGCAGUGGGGAUAUGCUGAACCAAUGCUCCAGCAGAGGGGAUAUUGCUGAAUUGUCUUCAAAGGGUGUGCUAUGUUGUUUUUGGUGAUUGUAGUCUUGUGGUUGCUGCUGUUUGCGUGUUUUUGUUUUUGCUCUGCAUGUUGGUUACUCACCAACUUGGAGUUUGGAGUUGGUGCUAGCAGAUGAUUUGGUAGGCAUCUAGGUGCCAACCUAGUUGGCAUCUGGAUGUUUCACUGUGAUGCUUUUUGUACUCUCCUCUUUAUUGAUGUACAUUAUCAUACUCUGAUGUUUUUCCAUUAACAAAGCUUCUUUUUUUGCUGAUAAAAAAAAGAAAAAAAAACCUACGAGCAGUCUCUUCUGGAUUUUGAUUCUUGAUUUGAUUCAAUUCAGGAUUCACACAAUUAGGAUUUUGAUGCAUGAUACGAUCCUUGAAUUGACAACUAUAAUAUAAUACAACAGGGACUAUUGAUGCACUCUUGGAAGCAAGAAUACCUGGGAUUAAUGUUAUCAUUGGAAUGUGGGCUAUCUAGGUUAUUUUUUUGUUCUCUGAUUAUCAUGUUUCCUAUCUUCCACUGGUCUUAAUUUUUUGUGCUUUGAAUCACGUGGGAGAAAGGCAAGGGGAGUCAUGCAAUUCUAUUUGCAAGUCAAAUGGGCAGUCAUGUGUACCAAACAAACUGUCAAUGCUUAAUCAAUAUGAAAUGUGAUCUUUAUCUUUCAUGCAUUUUUCUGCAUUAGUUUUUUAUUUAGUUAUGAAUAUGCUGAUUUUAUAGCUGACCAUGCUUAUUAUUCUUUAUGAUGGGGGUGGGUGUUAUCAAAUGCUUUGAAAGAACCUUCCUAUUUCUUUAAUUGAUCUAAAAUUUCAAUUAUUUUCUUAAUGGAUGAAAUCCCUUGGAAUAAAUGUAUCCUUAUAUAGGGUGUGGACAAUAGAAGAUUCAUUCGUGAACAAUGAUGAACAUAUAUUAUCAAUGUAACUUAUAUUGAGAACUUUUAUGUCCAUUCCCACGCCUGCUGCUUUUUCCUACAGUGUUGUUUCUUUGACAUGUUUGCAAAGUUUAUUAUUAUUGUUGUUUUUGUUAUCUUUAUAUGUUAUUCUUGUUGCAAAGUUUAUUAUUAUUAUUAUUGUUGUUUUUGUUUUUGUUUCUGUUAUCUUUAUAUGUUCUUCUUGUUAUCUUUAUAUCUUUAAAACAGGAAAGUGUAGAAGAAGUGUUAAUGUCGUCAAACUUCCAUGAGGCAGUUGAAAAACUUCCGUCCUUAAUUCUUGCCUAAUAUGCAGUCAAACUUAGUUGAGAAUGAAAAUGAAUAAAGAUAAGACAAAUAGGCAUUCUUAUCAGUCUUUACUGUUGCAUACUUUUUGAUGAGUUUGGAAAUCACUUUUUUGUUCAUAGCUUAACAUUUUCUCUCUAUUUUGCUGAUAAUGCUAGUGUUGCUUUGUAUGCUUGGGCUUGUGAAUUUUGACUAUUUUGCGAAAAUGAUGAACUUGCUCUGAACUUGCUUGAUUUCAGUUUUGAAUUCAAAUUAUUAUUAUUAUUAUUAUUUUCUGUCAUGUUAGAUUGGAGCAUUUUAGCUUAUAGUCGUAUUUUGGUGAAUUUCAGAUGUGCUUGGUAGAAGACUAUAGAAUUUGAUCUAAGCAUUAGUUUUUCUGUGCUGCGAAAAUGAUGAAGGUGUAUUUUCUAUAUCCAAAUUUCUGUCAUCUCUUAUGUAAUUUGUGAAAGAACAGAUUCUACUGAUAGAAAACCAGGAAGCAGAGAAGAAUAAGAAAGAUAGAAAAAUGAAGAACUAGAUUUUAUUAUUAAUUUCUUGAGAGAGAAAACAAUAAAGGACUUUGGUAGCAACUCUGUUACGGGGCCGGUUACAGCUGAGAGCUAUGCAAAUAAUAAAGGACUUUGUGGGCGUCUUUUGAAGCGCUGCAAGGCUCCUGAUGCUUACGAUCAUGCUUUCUACUUAAAUGGUUUCACGGUUGGUUGUUCGAUUUCUACUGUUGUAGUUUUUGCUUUGACUUUGUUUUAUUUGCCCAUUGAUCUACUAUUAAAGAAGAUUAUGAGUAGCAAGAUGAAGAAAAGAAACGAAGAGGUGGUUCAACAAAGCCAAUGGCGCCCAACUGCAAUGAAUAGAGUUGAGGAUACCAAGGUUGAACAUCUCUCUCUCUCUCUCUCUCUCUCUCUCUCUCUCCCACUCUCUCAUAUACAUUUUGCCUCUUUUCCUUCCUCCAUGUUCAGUUGUUCCUUGUUUGUUGUCAAUUAUCCCUCUUAUUAGAAUUUUUUCUCUUUCUCAUUUUCAAGUGGUGUAAGAAAAGAAAAUGCAAUUACAACAUACCAAAGCUGCUAUAUCUUAUGUUCUUAAUUAUAAUUUGAAUAGGUAUAAUAUAUAACCUCAUAUUAUGGUAACAAACAAUGUUUGUCUAUAACAAACAGUGUUUGUCUAUAACAUAUUGUUUUAUAAACAGAGUGAUAGUAUCUUCUUCUAGACUCAAUUUCAAAAACUUGGAUUAAUAUAUUUUUACUGUUUGCAUAUCCAAAUUAGAGUCUCGGUUCUUUCUUUAUAGACUCAUUUUCAGACUAAUCAGCCAAUUACUUUUUGUUUUCCCUUCUAUAAUUUAGUUCACAGAUUUCUAAAUUGGAGAAGUUGGUUACUAGAAUAAGCUCCACAGAACUCGUGAAUGCUACUGACAAUUGUAGCAAAGACAACAUCAUCGAGUUUUGAUAGACAGGGACAAUGUACAAGGCAGUUUUCCCCGAAUGGUUCGUUCCUUGUCAUCAAGAGGUUAUUCGACUCACAAUUCUCUAAAGGACACUUUAUGUCCGAGGUAAUGAUUCUAGGUAGAUUGAGACACAUUAAUUUGGUACCUUUGUUUGGUUUCUGUUAUGAAAGAAAGGAAAAACUGUCGGUUCUGCAAAUUCUGAUGACAAUUUGGUUGAAUGGAUCAUCAAUCUUGUAAAUACCUCUUUUAGUUUGCAAGAUGUAGUUGAUGACUCUCUGAUCAGGUUGGGAUUCAAUGGUGAGAUCUUUGAGUUCAUGAAUAUUGCAUGCAAAUGCAUUCAGUUGGUGCUAGAGCAGAGGCCAACAAUGCUGGAAGUGUACCAAACAAUGAAGGCCACUGGGGAGAAACACGACCUUGUGGACGAUUCUGAGAUGUGGAAAGAAGCAAAAAUUGCUACUGCCAGUGCUAGUGAGGGAGAUGUUGAAAUGAUAGGGUAGACGAAAUAGGCUGGACAAGCCAAAUUCGAUGGGAAACAUUGUGUGAUUUACUUAAUUUUUAAUGCAAUAUUAUCAUCAUUAUUAGAAGCACAACUUAUAAUAAGUUGCUGGAGCUUGUGACAUGUAUAGAAAUUUAUAUUUUGAAUGCACAUUUAUUUUUUAUUUUUUGAAGAAA